UCGUAGUUGGAUCUUGGGAGUAGGCGGGUGGGCGAGCCACGACCCAUCCGUGCCCCUUGCCUCUCGGCACCCCCUCGAUGCUCUUAGCUGAGUGUCCCGCGGCCCGAAGCAUUUACUUUGAAAAAGUUAGAGUGUUCAAAGCAGGCCCGAGCCACCUGGAUACCGCAGCUAGGAAUGAUGGAAUAGGACCACGGUUCUAUUUUGUUGGUUUUCAGAACUGAGGCCAUGAUUAAGAGGGACAGCCAUGGGCAUUCGUAUUGCGCCCCUAGAAGUGAAAGUCUUGGACCUGCGCAGUUCGGACCAGAGCGAAAGCAUAUGCCAAGAAUGUUUUCAUUAACCAACAAUGAAAGUUAGAGGUUUGAAGAUGAUCAGAUACAGUCGUAGUUCUGACCAUAAACGAUGCUGAGUGGCGAUGUGGUGGCGUUAUUUCCAUGACCCGCUGGGCAGCUUCCAAGAAACCAAAGUCUUUGGGUUUUUGGGUUCUGGGGGGAGUAUGGUUGCAAAGCUGAAACUUAAAGGAUUUGGUGGAAGGGCACCACCAGGAGUGGAGCCUGCGGCUUAUUUUGACUCAACACGGGAAACCUCACCCGGCCUGGACUCGGACAGGAUUGACAGAUUGAUAGCUCUUUCUUGAUUCCAUGGGUUGUGGUGCAUGGCCUUAGUUGGUGGAGUGAUUUGUCUGGUUAAUUCUGAUAACGAACGAGACUCUGGCAUGCUAACUAGUUACGCGACCCCCGAGCAGUCGGCAUCCCCCAACUUCUUAGAGGGACAAGUGGCGUUCAGCCACCCGAGAUUGAGCAAUAAGCGGUCUGUGCUGCCCUUAGAUGUCCGGGGCUGCACGAGUCCUACACUGACUGGCUCAGCAUGUGCCUACCCUACGUGGCAGACGUGGGUAACCUGUUGAACCCCAUUGGUAUGGUGAUCGGGGAUUGCAAUUAUUCCCCAUGAAUGAGGAAUUCCCAGUAAGUGCGGGUCAUAGGCUUGCGUGAAGUCCCCGCCCUUUGUACACACCGCCGGUCGCUACUACUGAUUGGAUGGUUUAGUGAGGCCCUCGGAUCGGCCCCGCUGGGUCAGCCUGCUGCCCUGGCAGAGCACUGAGAAGACAGUCGAACUUGACUAUCUAGAGGCAGCAAAAGUCGUAACAAAGUUUCCGUAGGUGAACCUGUGGAAG
rnacentral:rRNA from 1 species